GUUAAGUGACUAAGCGUAUACGGUGGAUGCCUUGGCAGUCAGAGGCGAUGAAGGACGUGUAAGUCUGCGAAAAGCGUAGGUGAGGUGACAAAAACCGUUACAACCUGCGAUGUCCGAAUGGGGAAACCCGGCCUUAGGGUCACUGUAUGGUGAAUACAUAGCCAUGCAGAGCAAACGAGGGGAACUGAAACAUCUAAGUACCCUCAGGAAAAGAAAUCAAUUGAGAUUGCCUUAGUAGCGGCGAGCGAACGGGUACCAGCCGAUGGUUUAUGUUGUAGUGGAAUCUUCUGGGAAGUUGAGCGAUACAGGGUGACAGCCCCGUACACGAAGCGACAUAAAUCACAUAUUAAGUAGGACGGGACACGUGUUAUCUUGUCUGAAGAUGGGGGGACCAUCCUCCAAGGCUAAAUACUCCUGACUGACCGAUAGUGAACCAGUACCGUGAGGGAAAGGCGAAAAGAACCCCGGCGAGGGGAGUGAAAUAGAACCUGAAACUGUAUACGUACAAGCAGUGGGAGCAGACUUGUUCUGUGACUGCGUACCUUUUGUAUAAUGGGUCAGCGACUUAUAUUCUGUAGCGAGGUUAACCGCAUAGGGGAGCCGUAGCGAAAGCGAGUCUUAACUGGGCGUUGAGUUGCAGGGUAUAGACCCGAAACCCGGUGAUCUAGCCAUGGGCAGGUUGAAGGUUGAGUAACAUCAACUGGAGGACCGAACCCACUAACGUUGAAAAGUUAGGGGAUGACCUGUGGCUGGGGGUGAAAGGCCAAUCAAACCGGGAGAUAGCUGGUUCUCCCCGAAAGCUAUUUAGGUAGCGCCUCGGACGAAUUCCUUUGGGGGUAGAGCACUGUUUGGGCUAGGGGGUCAUCCCGACUUACCAACCCCAUGCAAACUCCGAAUACCAAAGAGAACUAUCCGGGAGACACACGGCGGGUGCUAACGUCCGUCGUGGAGAGGGAAACAACCCAGACCGCCAGCUAAGGUCCCAAAAUUAUUGCUAAGUGGGAAACGAUGUGGGAAGGCUAAGACAGCCAGGAGGUUGGCUUAGAAGCAGCCAUCCUUUAAAGAAAGCGUAAUAGCUCACUGGUCGAGUCGGCCUGCGCGGAAGAUGUAACGGGGCUAAGCAAUAUACCGAAGCUGCGGCAGCACGUAUGUGCUGGGUAGGGGAGCGUUGUGUAAGUGGACGAAGGUGGCUUGAGAAGGCUGCUGGACAUAUCACAAGUGCGAAUGCUGACAUGAGUAACGAUAAUGGGGGUGAAAAACCCCCACGCCGGAAGACCAAGGUUUCCUGUCCCAUGCUAAUCAGGGCAGGGUAAGUCGGCCCCUAAGGCGAGGCAGAGAUGCGUAGUCGAUGGGAAACGGGUUAAUAUUCCCGUACUUAUAAGUACAGUGAUGGGGUGACGGAGAAGGCUAGGCUGGCAUGGCGUUGGUUGUCCAUGUGAAAGUGCGUAGGGUUGGUGUUUAGGAAAAUCCGGACAUCUACAUGCCUGAGACACGAGACGAUGCACUACGGUGCAGAAGCAGUUGAUGCCCGGCUUCCAGGAAAACCCUCUAAACGUAUGUACUUAUGAACCGUACCCCAAACCGACACAGGUGGUCAGGUAGAGAAUACUAAGGCGCUUGAGAGAA
rnacentral:rRNA from 1 species